AUCAAGUUUAAGAUUAUCAGAGUUACCAACUUGAAUUUUGGAGCUUCUAUCCCCAGAAUCACUUCCAACACCUUGAGUUAACAUGGGGCCCACAGAUGCAGUCUCCUCCGCCGCUGCAUCCCUAACAGGCAANNNNNNNCUAUCAAACCCUUCUCCUCCCGCUGCCAUAGCUCUUGUUCCACCAAUUUCACACUGUUCGGAGAAGUGCAACGAAUCCGAAUAAUAGCCCCAGGCAAAAGGACCUUGUUUCUGAAUGGGAGGAUCGCCAACCGACUCGGCAGCUCUACCGAUUCCGCCAUAGCUCUGCAACUUCAAGUUUCAACCAAAACAAACAUAAACAAAGAGGACGCGAGAGAGAGAGAAAGGGGCCUCUGUUAUAAAUUUAUCUGCUUAUUU
rnacentral:misc_RNA from 1 species